CAGUCUUCAUAAUAAAUUAAAAAAUAACAUUAUUUGUUUUCAAAAACAUCUCGUAGUUGGUGGAAUAAUAACAACAGAAUGGAGUAUCAAAAAGUUAAAGGCGAAAGGAGAAAUUCAUUCCUCUACAUAGCUGGGAAUAAUUGCUAUGUAAAAAACAAGAGUCACAGCGGUUACAUUUAUUUAAAGAGCAAAAACUAUCAACUGUGUGUUGGAACUGCAAAAAUACGCGAAGGAAGUGAUUUACGUAAUGUGAUUCCAAAACAGAAGAUUUUAGCCAUUUGGAAGCGAUGGAAAGAAUGAGACUCAAAGCUGCAACUACACAAAUUCCAUUACGCCAGAUUUAAAUGGAAAUCAUUUGAGACUGUCCUGAAAAUGUAAAAAAUUGUUUAUCCUACUUAAAAUGUGAACAGAUACUUCGUCGUGCAAGAAAAACUCAGUACAGUGCAAAUCCCAACAGCGUAGAAGAAGCAGUAUUGGCAAUAUCUAAGCCAAAUCCAUUUACCAACAUUCUGAAAGGAAUCGUCAGAUUUGAAGACCAAUUGGCCAUACUAUUAUGUUCAUCAGCACUACUACAAAUAAUCUCAGGAUCUACAAUUAUUUUCAUUGAUGCAACAUUUCGCGUUGUUCCUAACAUCUUUGAAGGAGGUCAACUACUAAAUAUCUCCAUUAUGCAUUGUGACAAUGUCCUUCCUGUGUUUCAUGUACUUAUGACUGGCAAAAAAGAAGGCAUUUACAUUGCUAAAUUUAGAAAAAUUAAGGAACUUUCAAGUGACUUUCAACUACGAAUUUUUAGGCUGACUAUGAAGCAGCAAUAGGCAGUGCCUUGAAGAUUGUCUUCCCUGAAAUAAGACUGACUGGUUGCCGGUUUUAUUACGGCCAGGCAACUUUAAGAAAAAUCAAAGCUGUUUAAGAAAAAUCAAAGCUUCAAUCUAAUUACAUCAACAACUCUGCAAUUUAGAGGUUGGGUCAGAAAUACGUUGCUAUGUGCCUCUUGCCUUGUGUUUUCAUCAGAGCAAAAGUAGAUUUACUCAAAACAGAGAUGAGUCGAUUUGCAAACAUUGAAACUCGUAAAAAAAUGAAAAAGUUUGUGUAUUAUUUUGAGAAGUAUUGGAUGACAACACAAACCCCAGCUUUUUUUUCUGUGCAUGGACUUCAAUUCAGAACCAACAAUGUCUCGGAAUCACUGCCGGUUUCUGGAAGUUUCUAGACGAUAUACGAGUAUAUUAUCAGGUAUAGCCAUAUUUAAAUGAAUAUUGUAAAGGAUAAAUUUCGUCGAUUAAACUCAUAAUAAAGUAA